GAUGAAGAACGUAGUGAAAUGCGAUAAGUAAUGUGAAUUGCAGAAUUCAGUGAAUCAUCGAAUCUUUGAACGCACAUUGCGCCCGUCAGUAUUCUGGCGGGCAUGCCUGUUCGAGCGUCAUUACGCCCCUCAAGUCCCCUGUGGACUUGGUGUUGGGGAUCGGCGAGGCUGGUUUUCCAGCACAGCCGUCCCUUAAAUUAAUUGGCGGUCUCGCCGUGGCCCGCCUCUGCGCAGUAGUAAAACACUCGCAACAGGAGCCCGGCGCGGUCCACUGCCGUAAAACCCCCCAACUUUUUAUAGUUGACCUCGAAUCAGGUAGGACUACCCGCUGAACUUAAGCAUAUCAAUAAGCGGAGGA
rnacentral:misc_RNA from 1 species